UACGGAGGGUGCAAACGUUGCUCGGAAUCAUUGGGCGUAAAGCGCACGUAGGCGGUCCAGCAAGUCGGGUGUGAAAGCCCUCGGCUUAACCGAGGAAGUGCAUUCGAAACUACUGGACUUGAAUACUGGAGAGGAUCGCGGAAUUCCCGGUGUAGAGGUGAAAUUCGUAGAUAUCGGGAGGAACACCAGUGGCGAAGGUGGCGAUCUGGACAGAUAUUGACGCUGAGGUGCGAAAGCGUGGGGAGCAAACAGG
rnacentral:rRNA from 1 species